CUGUAUCGCCCACUGUGAAUGUGAUAAGUAAUGUGGUACGUUAUGAGCACACACGUAUCUGUGUCUACAUAUAUGGAUACACUAUAUUAGGCCGAAGCACUCCCACUGCACCUUUUCACAGGGGAUAGAUGUCACAAUGCAUAUACACAGCCAAGAACUCGAAACCUCAAACCACUUCACGACAUGUUAUGUUUGCUUGUAUUUCAUUGAACCUUGAACCUUAACGUUUAUCCUUUUGCUAUCUGAAAUAUUGCAUCUCUACCUGGCCUGCGAGCCGACUUGAUAUCACUGUUAUACUUCAAUAAACAGAUUUUCAAAAAAAAAAAAAA